GCCACGCCCGCUCAGAAACUACAAAGGAAGUUGACGGGGGCCCGCACAAGCGGUGGAGUAUGUGGUUUAAUUCGAUGCAACGCGAAGAACCUUACCUGGUCUUGACAUCCCGGAGACCCUUAGGAAACUAGGGGUGCUUCCAUCUGGAAGAAUCUGGAGACAGGUGCUGCAUGGCUGUCGUCAGCUCGUGUCGUGAGAUGUUGGGUUAAGUCCCGCAACGAGCGCAACCCUUGCCUUUAGUUGCCAGCAGUUCGGCUGGGCACUCUAAAGGGACUGCCGGUGUUAAACCGGAGGAAGGUGGGGAUGACGUCAAGUCCUCAUGGCCUUUAUGACCAGGGCUACACACGUACUACAAUGGCCGAUACAAAGGGCAGCGACACUGCGAGGUGAAGCCAAUCCCGUAAAAUCGGUCUCAGUCCGGAUUGGAGUCUGCAACUCGACUGCGUGAAGUCGGAAUCGCUAGUAAUCGUGAAUCAGAAUGUCACGGUGAAUACGUUCCCGGGCCUU
rnacentral:rRNA from 1 species